rnacentral:rRNA from 1 species
UACGGGGGGGGGCAAGCGUUGUUCGGAAUUACUGGGCGUAAAGGGCGCGUAGGCGGUUCGCUAAGUUGAAUGUGAAAAACUCUGGGCUUAACCCAGAGCCUGCAUUCAAUACUGGCGGGCUAGAGUUCUGGAGGGGAUAGCGGAAUUCCUGGUGUAGCGGUGAAAUGCGUAGAUAUCAGGAGGAACACCGGUGGCGAAGGCGGCUAUCUGGGCCGAUACUGACGCUGAGAAGCGAAAGCGUGGGGAGCGAACAGG